UACAGAGGUCUCAAGCGUUGUUCGGAUUCAUUGGGCGUAAAGGGUGCGUAGGCGGCGCGGUAAGUCGGGGGUGAAAUCUUGGAGCUUAACUCCGAAACUGCAUUCGAUACUGCCGUGCUUGAGGACUAGAGAGGAGACUGGAAUUUACGGUGUAGCGGUGAAAUGCGUAGAUAUCGUAAGGAAGACCAGUGGCGAAGGCGGGUCUCUGGACAGUUCCUGACGCUGAGGCACGAAGGCCAGGGGAGCAAACGGG
rnacentral:rRNA from 1 species